UUCGGCUUCUACAGCUAAUGGGUCAGGUGAUUGUGCAGGUGGAAAUAAUGAGACAGCGGAAUGAAUGCACGAUAUAUCAAUUGGUGGCUUCCAACACUUUAACAAAGGCAAAAUGCUCUUCUUACACUACACCAAGUGUUCUCUCAUUCGGGAUGUUAGAACAUCAAGGACUUCGCGAAAUUGAUUUCUGUAGUAGGCUCGAAAUGAAAACUUGGUGGCUGUUCCGGCUUGC